rnacentral:lncRNA from 1 species
CUGUCACUAUGAACGUAUCGGCCCGGACAGAUACCAGCAUAAUGACAGCCGGUAAGCCCCCUCACCUCGUCAAGGUGGGAUACUCUCGAGGGGGACCAUAUGACCAUAGGACAGCGCUUGACUUGUUGGGUACCUGGAACGAAAACAUGCAUCAGCGUUUCGUCGGAGGUUGUGCAGCCCGGAUGCGGUGGCUGGCAUAGGAUGUCAGAAGUCGCGCGAGCUCGCAAACAGCGCUCACAUGCCAGUAGGAGGCCUUCCCUCGUCUGGCGGCAGAAUACUCCGAAGAUGGUGAUAGUGUGGGCCUCUGUCACCCGGCCAUGACGAUACUUCCGGCCCCUGGCGAAAGUUUCAUCGAUCUGUUAACGAGAAAAUAGUGUGCUGCUAGACCUGUCAGGGCAGUCUGGACACUGCACGGAUGAAAGCUUGACUCACCUCUACACUAGACACUAGAUCAGGAAGAAAUGAAGAGCAGUUUAACUCAGAGAUUUAAAACUGGUUGUUAGUAGGAAGGAAAGUUUUCGGGUUAAGGUCAGGGUGGUUAUUAAG